rnacentral:ncRNA from 1 species
CCUUUGCAGGGGUUUGGAAAGGGGAUCCCCCUUUCACGUUUUGAGGAGGGUGCUCAGGAUGCAGACAAAGCUCCAAAGGCAUCCGUCGAAGGGGUC